rnacentral:pre_miRNA from 1 species
GUGAGCGUCAUCUCUCCCAGAUAAUGGCACUCUCAAACAGUUUCCAAGUUGUUUGAAAGGCUGUUUCUUGGUCAGAAGACUCUCAAUUCCUUCUGGA